rnacentral:rRNA from 1 species
UGGGGGAUAACGUUCGGAAACGGACGCUAAUACCGCAUACGUCCUACGGGAGAAAGCAGGGGACCUUCGGGCCUUGCGCUAUCAGAUGAGCCUAGGUCGGAUUAGCUAGUUGGUGGGGUAAUGGCUCACCAAGGCGACGAUCCGUAACUGGUCUGAGAGGAUGAUCAGUCACACUGGAACUGAGACACGGUCCAGACUCCUACGGGAGGCAGCAGUGGGGAAUAUUGGACAAUGGGCGAAAGCCUGAUCCAGCCAUGCCGCGUGUGUGAAGAAGGUCUUCGGAUUGUAAAGCACUUUANNUUGGGAGGAAGGGCAAUUACCUAAUACGUGAUUGUUUUGACGUUACCNACAGAAUAANCACCGGCUAACUCUGUGCCAGCAGCCGCGGUAAUACAGAGGGUGCAAGCGUUAAUCGGAAUUACUGGGCGUAAAGCGCGCGUAGGUGGUUUGUUAAGUUGGAUGUGAAAUCCCCGGGCUCAACCUGGGAACUGCAUUCAAAACUGACUGACUAUANUAUGGUAGAGGGUGGUGGAAUUUCCUGUGUAGCGGUGAAAUGCNUA